rnacentral:lncRNA from 1 species
UGCCCAGUAGCUGCCGUCCCACAGCGUGGCGUGCACCGACAUGGGCUUCCCGCCGGGGUACGGCAGAUCACGGUAGCGCUUGAAGCUCCGGAUGAAGAGGUCGUCGACCUUGAAGAUGACGUUCUUGUCGUUCCAGAUGAUGGUGUAGGUGUGGAAGUCGGCGGCCGGGUCGAACCAGAGGUAGAACUGGUGCUCCUUCUUGCCGUCGCCGUUGGCCCACACGUUGGUGUUGAGCACGACGGGGUCGCCGCUGGAGUUGCCCAUGAACUCCAUGUCGAUCUCGUCGUGCCCGUCGCCGUCGCCGGAGGUGAGGUAGAAGGAGGUGACGGUGCCGGCGGAGUUGCCGGGGAUGAGCUUCAUCUGGAUGCUGAACUCGCCGUAGAGGUACCUCUGGCGGGACCUGAAGGCGCCGCCGGACUGCUGGUUCAGGAUCAGCGACGUCACCUGCUGGCCCUCCGCGUUGUAGUCCGC